UGGUGGAGACUUCAUUGUUCAUGGAGACCCAAAGCAUAGAAAAAGCAAGUUUAGCUGGACUUGUAUUGUCUUUACUUUCAGAUUCAAAGAGAGGAUCACAGCAAGUCAAUGGAAGAUCACGAAGCAAUCUCAUCUUGGAUUGUAUUUUGAAUUUGAUUAUGUUAGAAAUGACUCUUUGUAAGGACUCAUCUCCAUGUGACUCCUGGCCCUGCUUCCAUCAAACCUUCAGCAAUCUCGUGGCUUUCCUGGGAUGCUUCUACACAAACUGCUUUGACUUAUCUCCAUUCUGUAUGGUUUUAAUUCAGCCCAAUGGUAUUUCACACUGGUUUCACUGCAAGAAUUAAAUAUGUCUUGUGUCA